GGGAGCAGACCAAGGCGCUGGUCACCCAACUCACCCUCUUCAACCAGAUCCUGGUGGAGCUGCGGGAUGAUAUACGAGACCAGGUGAAGGAAAUGUCCCUGAUCCGAAACACCAUUAUGGAGUGUCAGGCUUCCAUGAGCAGCGUUCCCACUGCAGCCCCAAUCCCUGCUUCCGAGGUGUGGACUGCAUGGAAGUGUACGAGUACCCAGGCUACCGCUGUGGGCCCUGCCCCCCUGGCCUGCAGGGCAACGGCACCCACUGCAGUGACAUCAAUGAGUGUGCUCACGCUGACCCCUGUUUCCCGGGCUCCAGCUGCAUCAACACCAUGCCCGGCUUCCACUGUGAGGCCUGUCCUCGAGGGUACAAGGGCACACAGGUGUCUGGUGUGGGCAUUGACUAUGCCCGGGCCAGCAAACAGUCUGCCCCUUCAGGUCUGCAAUGACAUCGAUGAAUGCAACGAUGGCAACAAUGGUGGCUGUGACCCAAACUCCAUCUGCACCAACACUGUGGGCUCUUUCAAGUGUGGUCCCUGCCGCCUGGGUUUCCUGGGCAACCAGAGCCAGGGCUGCCUCCCAGCCCGGACCUGCCACAGCCCAGCCCACAGCCCCUGCCACAUCCAUGCUCACUGUCUCUUUGAACGCAAUGGUGCAGUGUCCUGCCAGUGUAACGUGGGCUGGGCUGGGAAUGGGAACGUGUGUGGGACUGACACAGACAUCGAUGGCUACCCAGACCAAGCACUGCCCUGCAUGGACAACAACAAACACUGCAAACAGGACAACUGCCUUUUGACACCCAACUCUGGGCAGGAAGAUGCUGAUAAUGAUGGUGUGGGGGACCAGUGUGAUGAUGAUGCUGAUGGGGAUGGGAUCAAGAAUGUUG
rnacentral:sRNA from 1 species